rnacentral:rRNA from 1 species
AAGUAUAGGAGAAAAUUUAUGUGGAAGCAAGAGGAAGAGAUCACCGGAGCCAGUUGCAAGGUAAACUGGGCGACGGUCUGCACGCCAACCACGCACGGAGGCUUGGGCAUCCUUGACCUCGAGCGUUUCAGUCGGGCUCUGAGACUGAGAUGGCUCUGGAUUGCUUGGACAGACCCCGGCCGCCUGUGUGUGGGCACUGCGCCGCCUUGCUGCGACCAGGACAUAGCCCUCUUCGCAGCUGCAACCACAGUGGCAAUCGGGGACGGCUUGACGGCUUUGUUCUGGCACUCCCGUUGG